rnacentral:rRNA from 1 species
GAAAUAAUAGUACCGAAGUUCCUGAUGUCACACUGCCGAGAAAAGCUUCUAGUGAGAAAACAGCGGCCCGUACCGCAAACCGACACAGGUAGUCGAGGAGAGAAUCCUAAGGUGAGCGAGAGAACUCUCGUUAAGGAACUCGGCAAAAUGACCCCGUAACUUCGGGAGAAGGGGUGCUGAUCAUACGAUCAGCCGCAGUGAAUAGGCCCAAGCGACUGUUUAUCAAAAACACAGGUCUCUGCAAAAUCGUAAGAUGAAGUAUAGGGGCUGACGCCUGCCCGGUGCUGGAAGGUUAAGAGGAGUGCUUAGCGCAAGCGAAGGUACGAAUUGAAGCCCCAGUAAACGGCGGCCGUAACUAUAACGGUCCUAAGGUAGCGAAAUUCCUUGUCGGGUAAGUUCCGACCCGCACGAAAGGCGUAACGAUUUGGGCACUGUCUCAACGAGAGACUCGGUGAAAUUUUAGUACCUGUGAAGAUGCAGGUUACCCGCGACAGGACGGAAAGACCCCAUGGAGCUUUACUGUAGUUUGAUAUUGAGUGUCUGUACCGCAUGUACAGGAUAGGUAGGAGCCGUAGAAAUCGGAACGCUAGUUUCGAUGGAGGCGCUGGUGGGAUACUACCCCUGCGUUAUG